UGCAGUCGAGCGAACUGAUUAGAAGCUUGCUUCUAUGACGUUAGCGGCGGACGGGUGAGUAACACGUGGGCAACCUGCCUGUAAGACUGGGAUAACUUCGGGAAACCGAAGCUAAUACCGGAUAGGAUCUUCUCCUUCAUGGGAGAUGAUUGAAAGAUGGUUUCGGCUAUCACUUACAGAUGGGCCCGCGGUGCAUUAGCUAGUUGGUGAGGUAACGGCUCACCAAGGCAACGAUGCAUAGCCGACCUGAGAGGGUGAUCGGCCACACUGGGACUGAGACACGGCCCAGACUCCUACGGGAGGCAGCAGUAGGGAAUCUUCCGCAAUGGACGAAAGUCUGACGGAGCAACGCCGCGUGAGUGAUGAAGGCUUUCGGGUCGUAAAACUCUGUUGUUAGGGAAGAACAAGUACGAGAGUAACUGCUCGUACCUUGACGGUACCUAACCAGAAAGCCACGGCUAACUACGUGCCAGCAGCCGCGGUAAUACGUAGGUGGCAAGCGUUAUCCGGAAUUAUUGGGCGUAAAGCGCGCGCAGGCGGUUUCUUAAGUCUGAUGUGAAAGCCCACGGCUCAACCGUGGAGGGUCAUUGGAAACUGGGGAACUUGAGUGCAGAAGAGAAAAGCGGAAUUCCACGUGUAGCGGUGAAAUGCGUAGAGAUGUGGAGGAACACCAGUGGCGAAGGCGGCUUUUUGGUCUGUAACUGACGCUGAGGCGCGAAAGCGUGGGGAGCAAACAGGAUUAGAUACCCCUGGUAGUCCACGCCGUAAACGAUGAGUGCUAAGUGGUUAGAAGGGUUUCCGCCCCUUUAGUGCUGCAGCUAACGCAUUAAGCACUCCGCCUGGGGGAGUACGGGCCGCAAGACUGAAACUCCAAAGGAAUUUGACGGGGGGCCCGCACAAACGGGUGGAACCAUGGGGGUUUAAAUUCGAAGCAACGCGGAAGAACCUUAACCAGGGCUUGGACAUCCUCUUGACAACUCUUGAAGAUAAGAGCGGUUCCCCUUUCGGGGGGACAAAAUUG
rnacentral:rRNA from 1 species